AUUGAACGCUGGCGGCAGGCCUAACACAUGCAAGUCGAGCGGAUGAAGAGAGCUUGCUCUCUGAUUUAGCGGCGGACGGGUGAGUAAUGCCUAGGAAUCUGCCUGGUAGUGGGGGAUAACGUCCGGAAACGGGCGCUAAUACCGCAUACGUCCUACGGGAGAAAGCAGGGGACCUUCGGGCCUUGCGCUAUCAGAUGAGCCUAGGUCGGAUUAGCUAGUUGGUGAGGUAAUGGCUCACCAAGGCUACGAUCCGUAACUGGUCUGAGAGGAUGAUCAGUCACACGGGAACUGAGCAACGGUCCAGACUCCUACGGGAGGCAGCAGUGGGGAAUAUUGGACAAUGGGCGAAAGCCUGAUCCAGCCAUGCCGUGUGUGUGAAGAAGGUCUUCGGAUUGUAAAGCACUUUAAGUUGGGAGGAAGGGCAGUAAGUUAAUACCUUGCUGUUUUGACGUUACCGACAGAAUGAACACCGGCUAACUUCGUGCCAGCCGCCGCGGUAACAC
rnacentral:rRNA from 1 species